UGAGUAAUCUGCCCUUGGCUUUGGGAUAGCCACCGGAAACGGUGAUUAAUACCGGAUACGACCGCUCCUCGCAUGAGGUGGUGGUGGAAAGUUUUUCGGCCAGGGAUGUGCUCGCGGCCUAUCAGCUUGAUGGUGAGGUAAUGGCUCACCAUGGCUUCGACGGGUAGCCGGCCUGAGAGGGUGUCCGGCCACACUGGGACUGAGAUACGGCCCAGACUCCUACGGGAG
rnacentral:rRNA from 1 species